GAUGAACGCUAGCUACAGGCUUAACACAUGCAAGUCGAGGGGUAACGAGAGGAAAGCUUGCUUUCCUUGUCGACGACCGGCGCACGGGUGAGUAACGCGUAUCCAACCUGCCCCCAACUAAGGAAUAACCUUGCGAAAGUAAGACUAAUACCUUAUAAUAUCCUCAGAUGUCAUAUGACGAGGAAUAAAGAUUUAUCGGUUGUGGAUGGGGAUGCGUCUGAUUAGCUUGUUGGCGGGGUAACGGCCCACCAAGGCAACGAUCAGUAGGGGUUCUGAGAGAAAGGUCCCCCACAUUGGAACUGGGACACGGUCAAAACGUCUACGGGAGGCAGCAAUGAGGAAUAUUGGUCAAUGGGCGGAAGCCUGAACCAGCCAAGUAGCGUGCAGGAUGACGGCCCUAUGGGUUGUAAACUGCUUUUAUACAGGAAUAAAGUUAGCCGCGUGUGGUUAUUUGUAGGUACUGUAUGAAUAAGGACCGGCUAAUUCCGUGCCAGCCGCCGCGGUAA
rnacentral:rRNA from 1 species